rnacentral:tRNA from 1 species
GGGGUUGUGGUUCUAUGGUAAAGUGCUUGCCUAGCAUGUAUGAUGCACUGGGUUCGAUUCUCAGAACCCCA